rnacentral:lncRNA from 1 species
AGCAAUUCUGCUGCCUCAGCUUCCUGAGUAGCUGGGACUACAGAAGGAGUCUCUGAAGUUAGCACCCUUCUAAGAAUCCAAACUCUACAAGCAGAGGUUACCAAGCACAGAGGCGUGGCACCCAAGAUCACACAGGUAACACACACGUGGAGCUCGGGGUUAAAGCCAGGCAGACUGAGACCCGAGGUCACCUCAUGUCACCAUAGGAGGCUCUGCCGAUUGCCCUGGGGGACACACACACCUGCGGCUGCUUCCAACAGCUGUGCCCAACCUCAGAGGAUGAAGACGAUUCACAUUUGAGGCUCUUCAGAAUAAUGUGCCUGGCUCUAAGGCAGCUUUCAAAGAGGACAUUCAGCCUGCUAUGGCUGUGAAGAUAUUCAACCCGAUGUCAUCCACUGUGAGGCAGAGGUUCUGGCAUUUUGAGGACAAAGCAGCCGGGAUUCUGUCACCUCGCUCUGCAUACACCAGCAUUUAAUGCAAGGUGUGAGUGAGGGCAUGUGUGGGUAUACUCAUGCCUGUGUGUUUGGGGGUGCAGGGGCUAGCGAGGUCCUGACAAAAGAGCUUUCUUCUGCAGAUCAUAGAGUGAAACGAUUCCUGCGCCCAAAAGGGAUUUUAAAAACAGCUCGAGAAGCUGAAAGCAAGAUACAACAGACAGUUCCACUCAAUUUGCUGCCUUCAGCCCGGCUGCGUACUGGAAACAUUUGGUCCUGCUGAAGCAUGCUUGUCUGCCUCCGGGGUCAGGGCUGGGUGUUUCAGAAAUGGAAAUGCAAGCUUCUGGCAGCA